GUGGGGAAUAUUGGGCAAUGGAGGAAACUCUGACCCAGCGACGCCGCGUGCGGGAUGAAGGCCUUCGGGUUGUAAACCGCUUUCAGCAGGGAAGAAGCGAAAGUGACGGUACCUGCAGAAGAAGCACCGGCUAACUAUGUGCCAGCAGCCGCGGUAAUACAUAGGGUGCAAGCGUUGUCCGGAAUUAUUGGGCGUAAAGAGCUCGUAGGUGGUUCGUCACGUCGGAUGUGAAACUCUGGGGCUUAACCCCAGACCUGCAUUCGAUACGGGCGAGCUUGAGUAUGGUAGGGGAGUCUGGAAUUCCUGGUGUAGCGGUGGAAUGCGCAGAUAUCAGGAGGAACACCAAUGGCGAAGGCAGGACUCUGGGCCAUUACUGACACUGAGGAGCGAAAGCGUGGGGAGCGAACAGGAUUAGAUACCCUAGUAGUCCGGU
rnacentral:rRNA from 1 species